rnacentral:rRNA from 1 species
GACGAACGCUGGCGGCGUGCUUAACACAUGCAAGUCGAACGGAAAGGCCCUGCUUUUGUGGGGUGCUCGAGUGGCGAACGGGUGAGUAACACGUGAGUAACCUGCCCUUGACUUUGGGAUAACUUCAGGAAACUGGGGCUAAUACCGGAUAGGAGAUCCUGCUGCAUGGUGGGGGUUGGAAAGUUUCGGCGGGUGGGGAUGGACUCGCGGCUUAUCAGCUUGUUGGUGGGGUAGUGGCUUACCAAGGCUUUGACGGGUAGCCGGCCUGGGAGGGUGACCGGCGACAUUGGGACUGAGAUACGGCCCAGACUCCUACGGGAGGCAGUAGUGGGGAAUAUUGCACAAUGGGCGGAAGCCUGAUGCAGCAACGCCGCGUGCGGGAUGACGGCCUUCGGGUUGUAAACCGCUUUCGCCUGUGACGAAGCGUGAGUGACGGUAAUGGGUAAAGAAGCACCGGCUAACUACGUG